UUUUUCCAAACAUGUCCUUUUGAAUAAUAAAUAUAAGGUCUGGCCUGCCCAAUGAUUGUAUUUAAUGGCCGCAGUAUCCUGACUGUGCGAAGGUAGCAUAAUCAUUUGUCCUUUAAUUGGGGACUUGUAUGAAUGGUCUGAUGAGGGAUUAUCUUUCUUUAUCUUAUAUAUAAUAAUUUAAUCUAUAAGUUAAAAAGCUUAUAUUACUUUAAAUGACGAGAAGACCCUAUAGAACUUUACUAUUAGUAAGUAUACUGUUUAAUAUAUAUAAUUAAAUAAACAAUGAUUUAUAAUAGUUUUGUUGGGGUGACAAUUAAAUUUAUUUAACUUUAAUUUAACUUAAUUCAUUAAUUAAUGACUGUUAUUGAUCCUAUAUUAUAGAUUAUAAGAACAAGUUACCUUAGGGAUAACAGCGUAAUUCUAUUGGAGAGUUCAUAUUAAUAAUGGAGUUUGCGACCUCGAUGUUGGAUUAAAAUAAGUAUUAGGCGCAUAAGUUUAAUAACUAAGUCUGUUCGACUUUUAAUAUUUUACAUGAUGGUUUUUUU
rnacentral:rRNA from 1 species